AUGGGCCAUCCUCACCCAGGGCUCCGAGAAGUGCAGACGUCCCUGCCCGCUCCCUGCCUCUGGCAGCGCCGAGGUCUGCUCACACGCAAGGAGCUGAUGGGCUGUAGGCUCCGAGCCCUGAUCCCUUCCCAGCACACCCCAUGGAGAAACUCAUCCUGCACGAAUGUGCUGCUAUUCGCAGAAAACGGAGGCCUUGACAAAGCUGGAGCGGUUGCUGUAAGUGGUAAGGAAAUACUGUAAUUAUGUAGGACCGUGUGUUGCGUAACUGUGCUAUAAAGGGUUUUCAAGAGGGGCUUUCCGCCUCCUGUUUGUUCUCUCAUAGGCAGUCCGAUCACGGUCACCUAAAGCUUUCUGUGUAAGAAACUCAAGCAAUUUCCUUUGAGCGUCCAUUUGUGGCUUGUUAUUUUACAAAGGGACCUGGUUCCAUUCCAUCGCCCUUCCCGGCCACUUCCUCCAAAUUCCCAAGGAAGCUGUCACCGGGAAGCAGCAGGUGAUGGCCUCCAGCCCUCCCUGUGCCUUGGGCUCCACAAACCUCCCCAGCACGGAAGGUUGCAGCCCCUGCCCAUAGAUGCCCACCUCCUCCAAAGGGACCUGCCAGGGACAGGUCACGCACAAUGCCCUGAAUUAAUCUGGGGGAGUAGAAAAGGCCGUGUGCUGUCCCAGCCUUGGUGGCACAGCGGUGACCUGCACCCACCAGCGGUGAUGUGGGCAGGGUGGGAGGAGCCCGGGGCUGAUGGAUGUCUGCUGCAGGGGCCCCUAUGCACUGAGUGUUGGCUCUGACCCAGUGAAUAUCAGCCCCUUUGUCAGUGUGGCUUUUUGGGUCGGGCCAGAAACAGGAAUGGAUUGCUUGUGAAAUUUCCCAGGUAUUUGCUUUGUAGUCACUGAAUACAAAACCUAUCCGGUUGCUAAUGGAACAGGGAUGUUUCUGAGCACAAUGCAGCUCUUGCUUUUGUUUUGCUUUCCAUAGCCCAGCAUUCUGUGACAUAUAAAACCACCCCAUUUGUUUUUCAUUGCCUGUAAGUAAAUUCCCCUACAAGACCACCGCGGCGCAGAUAUUACAUGGAAGCCAGCCCUGCUCCCAGCCACGUCUCCUGGCCCCAGCGACUUUCUUCUCAGAUCUUUGGUCCCCAGCUCAGCUCCCCGUGCUGGGAAUGAAGUCAUCGCUCCCCAAAGGGCUCCACACAUUACUGUGCUAUUAAAGUUGUGCCAGCGUUUUCUUCACAAGCUUCAGUUCCCACCGUCAUUAGUGGAACGAUGUCCUGUGCCUUGUCGACUUGGGGCCCUAAAUGGAGUUCACUUCAGGGUAAUGCUGAGGACACCUGUUGUUUUCUAAUUGUGGAAGGAAUCAUAUAUUCCUCUUGCUGUGAUUGCCAAGGAAAAAAUGGUAAGGUUUUCUUAGGUAUAAGUUUUCUGCUUUUUGCUCUAGGAUUGGGUAUUCACAAAGAGCUUUGCUGAGAAGAGUGUAUGUAAGCCAAAUGCCACCUCUGGUGUAAAACUAGUGUCAGUGUAUGUGUGACCAGAGAAACAAGAUGGUCCCAUUAAGAAAAUCUGUUCCCCCUCUUACUGUAUCCAGUGGGGUUCUUUCACUGAACUCAGAUAUCUUGAUUCAUUUGAGUUGGACCAAUGAAGACACAGUCAUGACUGAAUUCAGGGCAGCAGCGAUGCUCUGCAGAACCUGGGCUUCCAAUCACUUCAGAUAAAUGUUUUAUUGAAGUGAAUUGAUCUUCUGCUUUGCUGUAUCCGCUCUCCCUCCCCACAGUUCUCAAGGAAGCAGAAUACAGAGCUGCUGAAGUCCAACAGAUUUGCAAUUAGUGCCGUGGAUAAUCUCUCAUGAACGUGUGAUGCUUCCGAACGCUCUGCAACCAGUUUAUAAGGCCACUGAUUUAUAAAUCAGCUUGCAGAGCUCAGAUCUGGGGAUAAGGGCACCUGGUGAUUUCAGGCUGCCCUGUGUUCAUCACCAGCCCAGCCCCAUGCCCCUGGCUUGCUGCUGAGGGAGCUGUGCAAGCACAACCACCUCCCAGGGACAGCCUCUUUGUUCUGGAGUCUGGUCCCCAAAUAAACCUCAGCAUUCUGUGCUGUUAGCUCA
rnacentral:lncRNA from 1 species